rfam:Hydrogenobaculum sp. Y04AAS1, complete genome.
GCCCUGGUAGCUCAAUUGGAUAGAGCAUGGGACUACGGAUCCCAAGGUUGCGGGUUCGACUCCUGCCCAGGGCG